rnacentral:rRNA from 1 species
CCAGACUCCUACGGGAGGCAGCAGUGAGGAAUAUUGGUCAAUGGGCGUAAGCCUGAACCAGCCAAGUCGCGUGAGGGACGACGGCCCUACGGGUUGUAAACCUCUUUUGCCGGGGGACAAACGGCGGCACGCGUGCCGUCCUGAGGGUACCCGGAGAAAAAGCAUCGGCUAACUCCGUGCCAGCAGCCGCGGUAAUACGGAGGAUGCGAGCGUUAUCCGGAUUUAUUGGGUUUAAAGGGUGCGUAGGCGGAGUGUCAAGUCAGCGGUAAAAUUUCGGGGCUCAACCCCGUCGUGCCGUUGAAACUGACACCCUUGAGUGAGUGAGAAGUAAGCGGAAUGCGUGGUGUAGCGGUGAAAUGCAUAGAUAUCACGCAGAACGCCGAUUGCGAAGGCAGCUUACCGGCGCUCAACUGACGCUGAGGCACGAAAGUGCGGGUAUCGAACAGGAUUAGAUACCCCGGUA